GUUUGAUCGGCAUCGCCUCUAAACGACUUGUGUUCUUCGGUUCUUCUCACCUUAACAACAACGCCGCAUGUCUUGAGCCGAACUGCCGUCUCCAAAUCUCUCUCCUUCUCACUUUUCAGACGAAACUUGUCCAGGUUGUUAUCAUGGCUCCAAUUAGGAAGUAUCCUUCUGGGGCUAAAAAAAGAAAAGAGAAGCAAAAAAGAGAUGCAUUAGUCAAGCUUCAAGUUGGGUCUCUACGUAAGUACUUUAAUACACAUAGUGAACAACUACAUGAGAAUGAGACCGAGACU